GUUGUUGUUGUUGUUAAACAUGCGUCUACCUUCAUUACGUUCUACAACCCGAACCCGACGAGAGUUUUCUCGUUGCUAGCUUGACCCGGUUUCUAGCUGUUCUUGACGAGUCAGUGGGUUUCGAUCUCACCUGCGGUGUGAGCCAUACCUUUCGCACCUGUCAUCUAUUUUUAAAAAAUAACCAUAGACAGUAGAAGACAUCGCGCACGGGGUUCUAUAGUGUUGUGCAUACAGCUGGCUAGAUUGAGUGUCCGUCCCUAAGAUUGUUGUGGCCGCAAUAUAAUGGACGGGAGAAGACUUUUGCCCGCUCGGCUGCUUUGCAACGAGGUAUAGGCGUGCCCACGAUAUAUAUCACCGAUCGUGAUGAAUUUCACCGCCCUGCAAUCCCGGCUGCAGAUAUACUGUUUUUGCGCCGUGUUGUUUGGUACGCCACCAAAUAUGAAAUACAACGGGAACGGCUAACAAAAAGGAAGAGCCUCCCACUUCCAUCUUAAGAAUUUGCUGUUCCAUUUUGCCCACCUUCACGGAUGUUUAACCGUCGCCUUUGGCGAGAGACUGCCAACAAAAGAAAGAGGAGAAAAAAACAUGCCCCCGGCAGGAAUUGUCUUCACGUUGCUUCCUCGCGUGCUAAAACGUAAUUCAAAUGAAAAAGAAAUGAACGCCAAUCCAUCAGCGACGGAUGAAAGUUGCUUUCAUUUCCAUCGUCAAUUUCCUUGUAACGUUUUCAUUUCUUUUGGUUUGUUUUUUUGUUUCCUCUUUUUUCUUUCUUUCAGAAUGGCAACGUUUAUACAACAACAAGUUUUAACGUACAAGACGGAACUCGAAGCUCAUCUCAAUCACUCCAUAAUGCAUUCACACACCAAUGAAAAAAACAAAAACAAUAAGAAAUCGAAAAUAAAAA